GCUGCUUCAGCUGGUCGCGGGGAAGGGCCGGACCGGAGGCUUAAGCCGCGGCGACCUUCGGGGCUCCGCUGUGUCGCUGAGGUGGCCGCCGCUGCCUGAGGAAACAAGGGUAGUUACUGUACAAAAAGAAUUUCACCAGCUAUGGAACUUGCUCAUAGUUUGUUAUUAAAUGAAGAGGCUUUGGCUCAGAUCACUGAAGCAAAACGGCCAGUUUUUAUCUUUGAGUGGCUACGGUUUCUUGAGAAGGUGCUUGUAGCUGCUAACAAGACAGAUGUAAAAGAAAAACAAAAAAAGCUUGUUGAACAGCUGACAGGUCUUAUCAGCAGUUCUCCUGGACCACCAACAAGGAAAUUGCUUGCUAAAAAUCUUGCUGCUCUAUACAGCAUUGGAGAUACUUUUACUGUCUUCCAAACACUUGACAAAUGUAAUGAUAUCAUCAGGAGUAAAGAUGAUACUUCUGCCUAUUUACCGACCAAACUUACUGCAGUGGCAUGUGUUGGAGCAUUUUAUGAGAAAAUGGGAAGAAUGCUGGGCAGUUCUUUUCCUGAAACCGUUAACAAUCUCUUAAAAUCUUUGAAAAGUGCUGAAUCACAGGGACGGAGUGAAAUAUUAAUGAGUUUACAAAAAGUCUUAAGUGGCUUGGGUGGUGCAGCAGCUUCUUGCCACCGAGAUAUUUAUAAGAAUGCCCGGUCUCUCCUGACAGACAGAGCUAUGGCUGUGCGCUGUGCAGUAGCAAAGUGUCUACUAGAACUGCAAAAUGAAGCUGUGUUUAUGUGGACAACAGAAUUAGAAAAUGUAGCAACUCUAUGCUUUAAGGCACUGGAGAACUCAAAUUAUGGUGUACGAGUUGCAGUAUCCAAACUUCUGGGGACAGUUAUGGCUACAGCACUGAUACCAAAGCAAGCAGCAGUGAUGCGCCAGAAUGUGAAGAAAGCAACGUUAGAAGAGGUUUUAGAACUCAUGGCCACUGGUUUUUUGCGAGGAGGAUCUGGGUUCUUAAAAAGUGGUGGAGAGAUGUUAAAAGUAGGAGGAUCCGUUAAUCGAGAAGUGCGAGUUGGGGUUACUCAGGCCUAUGUUGUCUUUGUCACAACCCUAGGAGGUCAGUGGCUAGAACGCAAUUUUGCAACUUUCCUGUCACACGUGCUGGAUUUGGUUUCUCAUCCUCGUGCAACUCAAACUCACGUAGAAGCUGUCUACUCUCGGAGAUGUGUCUCUUUUAUCCUCAGAGCGACAGUAGGAAGUUUAUUGGGAGAGAAAGCACAGAUUGCUGCUGCUAAAGAUAUUUGUCAGGCUAUUGAUAAACAGAUGAAGGCAGUCGAAACAGUUGUGAAUGAUGCUAAUAUUGAAAACAAGUCAGGAGCAGCAGAAGUUGCCGCAAGUCAACAUGUAAUGGUUUGUGCUCUUCAGGAGCUAGGAAGUUUAGUUCAAAGCCUGAAUGCCACUGCAUCACCCCUUAUACAGGAACCUUCUAUAGGAUUGCUUGAAACUGUUACUUCGGUUCUUCUCCAUCCCAGUAUGGCUGCUCGACUUGCUGCUGCGUGGUGUUUGCGUUGUGUGGCUGUUGCUUUGCCUUUCCAGUUGACUCCGUUAUUGGACCGGUGUGCAGAAAGGCUUAACAACCUGAAGACUUCCCCAGAAGCUGUUAGUGGGUACAGUUUUGCAAUGGCUGCUUUGUUAGGUGGAGUUCAUCAAUGUUCUCUAGGCAUUCCUCAUGCCAAAGGAAAGAUGGUUGUUAGCAUUGCUGAGGAUCUCUUGCGGACUGCUGCACAAAAUAGCAGGCUGUCCUUACAGCGAACCCAGGCUGGGUGGCUUUUACUGGGUGCUCUAAUGACUUUAGGUCCUUCAGUUGUCCGUUACCAUCUUCCUAAAAUGUUGUUACUGUGGCGAAAUGUGUUUCCCCGUUCGCUAAAGGAAUUAGAAGCUGAAAAAGCUCGUGGAGAUUCCUUUACAUGGCAAGUAACACUGGAAGGACGUGCAGGAGCUCUCUGUGCUAUGAGGAGUUUUGUUGCUCACUGUCCUGAACUUCUAACAGAAGAUGUUAUUCGAAAAUUGAUGACACCUAUUGAAUGUGCUAUGACAAUGAUGUCUCACAUUCCUUCUGUAAUCAAAACCCAUGGAGCACAUCUGAAGGCAAGUGCAGCAAUGGUUCGAUUAAGGCUUUAUGACAUUUUGGCUUUGUUACCACCAAAAACAUACGAAGGUUCUUUUAAUCCACUUCUUCGGGAGCUGGUGGCAGAAUUUACUCUGACAGACAAUUCUGCUAAUACAACUACCUCCCUGCUUAGAUCACUUUGCCACUAUGAUGAUAGCGUCCUUCUUGGCUCUUGGCUGCAAGAAACAGACCACAAAUCAAUUGAAGAUCAGUACAAAAAGGAUGCUGAGGAAUUGGAAAGAGUGCAGAGAAGAACAACAAAGAUGCUCCAGCCCAACAGUGCCUCAGGAAGUGGUGCCCUAGAACACGAUCCCUCCUCUAUUUACUUGCGCAUCCCAGCUGGAGAAGCAGUGCCAGGUCCCCUUCCUUUGGGAGUAUCAGUCAUUGAUGCCUCAGUGGCUCUCUUUGGAGUUGUUUUCCCUCAUGUGUCCUCUAAACACAGGCUACAAAUGUUGGAUCAUUUUGCAGAAUGCAUCAAGCAGGCAAAAGGUGUUCGUCAACAAGCAGUACAGCUUAAUAUUUUUACUGCUGUUCUCAGUGCACUAAAGGGCUUGGCUGAGAACAAAAGUACCUUAGGACCAGAAGAAGUCCGCAAGUCUGCUUUGACUCUUGUAAUGGGAGCACUUGACAAUCCUAAUCCUAUUUUGAGAUGUGCUGCAGGAGAAGCUCUGGGCAGAAUGGCCCAGGUGGUUGGGGAAGCAACUUUCAUUGCCAGGAUGGCUCAAUACAGCUUUGAUAAGUUGAAAUCUGCUAGAGAUGUUGUAUCAAGAACUGGCCACUCUUUGGCCCUUGGAUGCCUGCAUCGCUAUGUUGGUGGAAUAGGCUCUGGGCAGCAUUUGAAAACCAGUGUCAGCAUUCUAUUAGCCCUAGCACAAGAUGGGACCUCUCCUGAAGUCCAGACAUGGUCUCUCCAUUCACUUGCUCUAAUAGUGGAUUCCAGUGGACCAAUGUAUCGUGGAUAUGUGGAGCCUACCCUAUCUUUGGUCCUUACUUUACUUCUGACAGUGCCUCCAUCCCAUACAGAAGUUCACCAAUGUUUGGGUCGAUGUCUGGGAGCUAUAAUAACUACCGUUGGUCCUGAGCUACAAGGUAAUGGAGCUACUAUUUCUACCAUUCGUUCCUCAUGUCUGGUGGGAUGUGCAAUUACACAAGAUCAUUCUGACUCUCUUGUUCAAGCAGCUGCCAUUUCCUGUCUCCAGCAACUUCACAUGUUUGCACCACGACAUGUUAACCUUUCCAGUCUUGUUCCCAGUCUUUGUGUUCACCUAUGCAGCUCCCACUUGCUUCUACGUAGGGCUGCAGUAGCAUGUUUGAGGCAGCUUGCCCAAAGAGAAGCAGCAGAAGUUUGUGAAUAUGCCAUGAGCUUAGCAAAAAAUACUGGAGAUAAAGACAAUAACGGGACAAAUAUUAAUCCUUUUGCCCUAGGACUUUGCUCUCGAAGAGAUAGUCAUGGCAGACAUCAAGGAAUUAAAAUAACAGAGACAGGACUGGAAGGAGUUCUUUUUGGAAUGUUAGAUCGUGAGACUGAUCGGAAAUUGUGUUCUGAUAUUCAUGAUACUUUGGGCCAUAUGCUUUCAUCUCUGGCAGUGGAAAAACUCUCUCACUGGUUAAUGUUAUGUAAGGAUGUCCUCGCAGCAUCUAGCGAUAUGACAACUACGGCUCCAUUAGGAGGUGAAAAAGAUGAAGAUUUGGAGAAGAAGGAUGAAAUGGAUGAUGAUAUAAUGUUUACUACACUGGGUGAAGAAGACAAAUCAAAGCCCUCUGUGGCUCCUCGCUGGGCUACUCGAGUAUUUGCCGCAGAUUGUCUGUGUCGGAUUAUCAUGCUCUGUGAACAUGCAAAUAAAGCCCACUUUGAUCUAGCUCUGGCCCGCUCUGCCAAACUUAGAGACCCUAAAAAUGACCUUCUAGUGCUUCAUCUCUCGGAUCUUAUUCGCAUGGCAUUUAUGGCAGCAACUGACCACAGCAAUCAGCUGCGAAUGGCUGGUCUCCAAACACUUGAAGACAUUAUCAAGAAAUUUGCAGCAGUUCCUGAACCAGAGUUUCCAGGCCAUGUAAUUCUAGAACAGUAUCAAGCUAAUGUUGGGGCAGCUUUAAGACCGGCUUUCUCCCAGGAUACCCCUUCAGAUAUAACAGCAAAAGCUUGCCAGGUAUGCAGUGCUUGGAUUGGAAGUGGCGUAGUAAGUGACCUUAAUGACCUCCGUCGUGUUCACAAUCUUCUUGUCUCUUCUUUGGACAAAGUACAAACAGGAAAAGGGUCUUCCAGCCAGCUAUAUAGGGAGAGUGCCACUACGAUGGAAAAACUGGCAGUACUCAAAGCCUGGGCAGAGGUAUAUGUUGUAGCUAUGAAGAUUAAGAAAGAAGCAGAGACCAAACCAAAGAAAGCAGCAAAAAAUGGAGGAGAUGAUGACGAUGAUGAUUAUGGCACAGUAGAUGAACUGCCACCAGAUAGUCUGAUAACACUUGUUCAACCAGAGCUGCCCACUCUCAGCCGUCUCUGGUUAGCUGCCCUCAAAGACUAUGCCCUUUUGACAUUACCAGCUGAAUUUGCAAGUCAGCUUCCUCCAGACGGGGGAGCAUUUUACACUCCUGAGACUAUUGAUACAGCUAGACUGCAUUAUCGGAAUUCAUGGACCCCAAUUUUACAUGCAGUUGCACUAUGGCUAAACAGUACAGGGUUUAAUGCCUGUGAAACAACAGAAGAUGCCUCAGCAGCAACACCUCCACAAAAGCAUGCCACACCCAUUAUGUUAAACCCAGCGUCAGAAACGCCACCUUCCACCAAAACUUUGCAAGAAAUAAAUAAAGAUAGAAUGCAUUUGAUUUUAGGUGUUAGCAUACAGUUUCUAUGUUCUCCUCGACCAGAAGAGCCUGUCGAACAUGUCAUGUCCUGCUUGCAAGCAGUGCACACUUUACUUGAUUCCUCUUGUGCUAGAACCCAUAUUGCAGAAGAUCAGCUACUUGGUGUCGAACUUUUGAGUGUGCUCCAUCGACUCUUGUUGACCUGCAAUCCUCCUUCAGUUCAACUCCUAGUUACAGAAGUUGUGCAACAGAUUAUAAGAGCUGCUCAAGAUCAUUUACAAGAAAAAAGAAAUACAUUGAAUGAAGAAGAUGCGAAAGAAAAAGACGGUAGCUGUGGGCUGGGUGAAGGAGGAGACAGCGGUGGUCUUGUGCCAGGAAAAUCUCUUGUAUUUGCUGCUAUGGAACUGCUAAUGUUUAUCCUUGUGCGACACAUGCCACAUUUGAGCACAAAAAUGUCAGAUUCUCCAAGUCAUUCUUUCAGCAAAAUCCAGCUCCCAGAAGAAAGUGCUCGUCUCGUGGCUGCCACCAUUGCCAUCCUGUCUGAUCUACCCACUCUUUGUUCCCCAGCUGGAUCUAUGACUAUAUUGCCCACUAUCCUCUUCCUAAUAAUACAAGUGUUGAAAGAUACUGCUGUAAAAACUGUGGGAAAUCAGGUCCUACCACCAGUCAGUGCAGCACUUCAGGGACUGAAAAAUAUAGUAACCCUUCCAAUGACCAUGAAUGAGAAUAUUCAUAAACAGUGGACAAAUCUUAUCCGCAGCACCCUAGCCUCAAUCUUGGAAUACUCUCAGCCAGAAGCCUCCAAGCCUACUUUAGAUGAAGUAAGUAUGCUUACUGCAAUUACGCUCUUCCUUUGGUCUGCAAGCACUGAAAUAAUUGGAGUUCAAGCAUUGCAAAAUGGCUGCAUUAACAGAUUUAAAACAGCAUUGAAUUCAUCUGAUCCUUGGGUUCAAGCCAAAUGUUACCAUCUUCUACUUUCUAUAUUUCAACAUACAAACCGUGCUCUCUCUACCCCAUAUAUACAUUCCCUGGCACCAAUAAUGGUUGAGAAACUGAAAGGUGUGGAGAAAAACCGUCCAAACAACAAAACAGAACUCUUAGCAAUCCAAGAGGGAAUUAAAGUUCUUGAAACACUGGUUGCUCUCGGUGAAGAGCAGAAUAGAGUACAAUUGCUUGCUCUUCUUGUCCCUACACUCAUAUCUUAUUUACUGAAUGAAAAUGCCUUCUCUUCUGCAUCCCUGGUAUCAAAAGAACUUCAUGAAUUUGCUCUCCAGGAUCUCACCCGCAUUGGACCCCUUUAUCCUCUUGCAUUUAAGACAGUAAUGGGAGCAGCUCCUGAACUGAAAGCACGACUGGAAACUGCAGUACGAGCAAGUCAGGCAAGCAAAGCAAAGGCAGCUGCCAGGCAACCACCACCCACAGUACAUUCCACGCCAACAAUUAAACUUAAAACUAGCUUUUUCUGAUUCUUGUUGGAACAAUCAUAAAACAUCAAGAAAUACAUCAUUCCUUCUGUGCUGCUGUAUAUCUCAUACUCUAUUUCUCAUUGUUUGUCAACAGGCUCUGCAUUAGCAAUGUAUGUUUCUAGGGGAUUGUUGCAUUAACGGUUUGAAAUCUGCGCAUUGCAAAAAGAUGUGAUAUCUGGAUGUAUAUAGAUUUUUAUGAAAUGGAGUAAGCUGACCAUCUGAGGUUGUGUUAAACUGUCUCAUUUAACAAUGUAUUUUAUGUAGUCUUUGUCUUUCUUUUUAGAAUGUUGAGUUCUCGUUAAUUCUGAAAGUUGGGUAUAUAUUUUCCAUAGGCACUAUCUGUGGAAUCUUGUGAACUACACUGCUUCCCUAUACAGCAUUUUAAAAAGGAGCAAUAGCAGUAUAUCGGUUGUCUCAGUGAAAGCAAUUUGAGGUGGAAUUUAAAAAUAGUAAAAUAUACAGUCUUGCAUAUGGUUCUCCAGUAGCAUCUACUACCUCCUAUCCAGCUAUAAAUGAAGCACCUAAAUGUAUUCCCUUUGUGCAUCUAGUUAUUAAAGAUAAAGAUUCCCAAAGUACAGGAUCAUUUACUAAAACAUUGCUUACAUUUGGAGAAGAGACGACAAUCCAGUUCUUCUAGUGUACAAACAUUUUCUCUCAGACUUAAAAAUAAUUUGUAGGGCAGCGCCAUUAAAUUAUGGCUAAAUCCUUCUCAUUUGCCCCACCCCCUUUGGUUAAAAUUUUUGUUAUAACAGAAUACCAUUCAAUUUCUCUUUGAAUUGUAUCUUCUUCAUAAAGUAUGGAGUGGGUACUAUUUUGUAAUAAACCAAGAGAUACUUUUGAAUGGGUUUUUGCCACGUAUAGGCAUAAACAAAAUAGUCUGCAUUGAAUGAUAAAGAAGAUAUCUACUCUACUUAUUUUGUAGAUGCACUUGAACUGUGAAGCAUAUUUCUAUGUCUAAAAACAAUUCAGCAAAUAGAAAUGCCUUCAUUGGAGAGCAUGAUCUGAUGGUUCAUUUUACUCUGAUAUUAGAGCAUGGUCUUUAAGUUGAAGACUGUACAUAUUCAGACUUUAUCAACACAAUGCUCAUAGUCUGAGCAUUCUCCAAUUUAAUUUUCUCCUUAAAAGACUUUUCAUGCAGGGGUUAAGAACAGUCUGGUUUGUGAGGCUCUGCUAUGUGAGGUCAGGCCUCUAAAUUACAAGUUUUUCUGAAGGGCAGGAUUGUUCUCUUCUCACAGAUUGCUAUCUGUUUGCAAAAAUGGUGUUUGUGUUCUCAGAAUGAUUUUCAUGAGGAAACCUGGCUGGCCAGGAUUUUAUUUUAUUUUAUUUUUAUGGCAAAAGUCAACUCAAAGCUGAACUCCCUAAAAACAUUUUGUGACUUACAAUGGAAAGACUAACAAGGUGAGAAGAAGCUGAAACAAUAUUUCUAUAAAUUUGAAUGCAUGCUCAACAUUCAAGUGCUGCUGUUUAUAUUUUCAAAAUAAGAAGACAAUGAAUAUAGUAGGUACAAAAAGGUUGACUGACCUUUCUGUCACUAUUUUGUAAUGUCUCCUUUGGGAGAAAUAAUAGUUACCAUUUUGUGUGUGUGUAGUCAACCAGUCUUUCUAGUCUUGUGUUGCUAUUUUUCCCCUACUUUUCUUCUUUCUUAGGUCCUACACAUUUGAGAUGUCCCCAGAUUUUCUAUUAUAUUCAAAAUCUAAGGGUUGUGAAAGCCAUUCCAAAACCCUUGUUUUCCUUUCCUGCGAGCAUUGCACAGUUAAUUCCUGCAAUUGUAGAACCUUAAAGUAUGUCUUUAUUGAUACAAAAAGUUAGCUAAGAUUACCCUGAUUGAGCUUCGGUAUGCAAAAUAUGUAUCAGCAUACUCUUCCAUUAGUUUUAGAAUCCAAAUUCACGACAGUGGCAAGUUUGUUGCAACAGUACAUGAAGCUGGAAUGAUCCAAUUGUAAAACAAAAGAGAUGAAUGUGCAGGGUUUUAUUUAUUUUGCCAUCUUUUCUUUACCGAACUCUAAUAUGAAGUGUUCCUGGAAGAAGAAGAAAAACCCAGAAAGAGAGGCUAAGGCAUGAAGAACAAUGAGAACUCAUAAAUACUUCAGUUCUUUAUAAGCCUAGUAAGUAAACCUAUAACAUUUUGUAAUAAACAUGAUCAAUUUUAUUUUUAUAUUUUUGCUGAAUUUGGGAGUCAAAAUCCCUGAAGGGAAUUAAUUGGGGGAAGCAUCGUAGAAAAAACGCGUGGUAGGCAACACAAAAUACUGUAUAGGUAUAUCAUUUUUCAAAUGUAAUGUAAAGCAAAAAUAGUUAAAACCAGGAGUCCUUUUUUAAUUGGAGACAUAUUUUCUUCAUUUACCUUUUCUCACUAAUCAGAAUUGCAAUAUUUGCUAAAGAUAAGCAAACUAAUUGUUGUGAUUAGCUUCUCUGCUGUCUGCCAACCUC